rnacentral:rRNA from 1 species
GACAGAGGGUGCAAACGUUGUUCGGAAUGACUGGGCGUAAAGGGCGCGUAGGCGGAUUGUACAGUCAGGCGUGAAAUUCCCGGGCUCAACCUGGGGGCUGCGCUUGAGACGUGCGAUCUUGAGUGGGGAAGAGGGUCGUGGAAUUCCCAGUGUAGAGGUGAAAUUCGUAGAUAUUGGGAAGAACACCGGUGGCGAAGGCGGCGACCUGGUCCUUGACUGACGCUGAGGCGCGAAAGCGUGGGGAGCAAACAGG